AACUUCUUGGUGAGCUGAAAAUAGGAGUUAAAAGGGAAUUCGACUCCAUGUAUGUAUUUCUAACGUUGAUUCUUGUAAAAAAUCCUUGUUUGGUGUACGUAUGCUUGGUAGGUGAUAUCUACAUGAAUUAUUUAUGAAUUUCUUGUGAUUGGUAUGUUUGUGAUUGCGUUAUGUGGUAAGAGUUGAGUAAUAAGUGACUAAAGGAAAUCGUAAAUAAUGCCAUAUCUAUGGCUUGUUGUGGGAAAUUACCAAUGUGACGUAAAAUGUAUAUGGAUUGUUGAAUAUGAUGGAAAUAGUAUUGAUGGUCGUGGAAACACUUGUAACCUUGUUGUUGUUGUUGUUAUUUCUUGAGAAGUAUUGAUGUUGAUCUUUGUGAAUUGUUGAUUGUUGU
rnacentral:lncRNA from 1 species